CAGCCGCCGCGGGAAUACGAAGGGGGCUAGCGUUGUUCGGAAUUACUGGGCGUAAAGCGCACGUAGGCGGCUUUGUAAGUUAGAGGUGAAAGCCCGGAGCUCAACUCCGGAAUUGCCUUUAAGACUGCAGAGCUAGCAGGUGAGAGAGGUGAGUGGAAUUCCGAGUGUAGAGGUGAAAUUCGUAGAUAUUCGGAAGAACACCAGUGGCGAAGGCGGCUCACUGGCUCAUACUGGACGCUGAGGUGCGAAAGCGUGGGGAGCAAACAGGAUUAGAUACCCCCGUAGUCCCUGUCUCUUAUAC
rnacentral:rRNA from 1 species